UACAGAGGGUGCAAACGUUGUUCGGAAUUACUGGGCGUAAAGCGCGUGUAGGCGGCCUAGUGUGUCGGGCGUGAAAUCCCACGGCUCAACCGUGGAAGUGCACUCGAAACUGCAAGGCUGGAGUACUGGAGAGGAUGGUAGAAUGCUCGGUGUAGAGGUGAAAUUCGUAGAUAUCGGGCGGAAUACCGGUGGCGAAGGCGGCCAUCUGGACAGUCACUGACGCUGAGACGCGAAAGCGUGGGGAGCAAACAGG
rnacentral:rRNA from 1 species